GUGUCAGCCGCCGCGGUAAGACGGAGGGUGCAAGCGUUAUUCGGAAUCAUUGGGCGUAAAGAGCGUGUAGGCGGCCGGUUAAGUCAGGUGUGAAAGCCCGGGGCUCAACCCCGGAAGGGCACUUGAAACUGAUCGGCUUGAGUCCGGGAGAGGGAAGCGGAAUUCCUGGUGUAGAGGUGAAAUUCGUAGAUAUCAGGAGGAACACCGGUGGCGAAGGCGGCUUCCUGGCCCGAGACUGACGCUGAGACGCGAAAGCGUGGGGAGCAAACAGGAUUAGAUACCCUGGUAGUCCACGCCGUAAACGAUGGGCGCUAGGUGUGGGAGGUUUUUAAUCCUUCCGUGCCGCAGCUAACGCAUUAAGCGCCCCGCCUGGGGAGUACGGCCGCAAGGUUAAAACUCAAAUGAAUUGACGGGG
rnacentral:rRNA from 1 species